UGGGGAAUAUUGCGCAAUGGGGGCAACCCUGACGCAGCAAUGCCGCGUGAGUGAAGAAGGCCCUCGGGUCGUAAAGCUCUUUUAUGGGGGAAGAUGAUGACGGUACCCCAAGAAUAAGCACCGGCUAACUACGUGCCAGCAGCCGCGGUAACACGUAGGGUGCGAGCGUUGUUCGGAAUUACUGGGCGUAAAGGGCGUGCAGGCGGACAGGUCAGCCGGAGGUGAAAGCCCGGGGCUCAACCCCGGAGGGUCUUUCGGAACUGCCUGUCUAGAGAGAGUCAGGGGCCAGCGGAAUUCCUGGUGUAGAGGUGAAAUUCGUAGAGAUCAGGAGGAACACCGGCGGCGAAAGCGGCUGGCUGGGACUACUCUGACGCUGAGGCGCGAAAGCGUGGGGAGCAAACAGG
rnacentral:rRNA from 1 species